rnacentral:rRNA from 1 species
CACUCUAAGCGGUGAAUCACUCGGCUCGUGUGUCGAUGAAGAGCGCAGCCAGCUGCGUUAAGUAAUGUGAAUUGCAGGACACAUUGAACAUCGAUAUCUUGAACGCAUAUUGCGGCCUCGGGCAUUCCCGAGGCCACGCCUGUCUCAGGGUCGGUUGCAAGGUAAUCGCGAG